rnacentral:rRNA from 1 species
UACGUAGGGUGCGAGCGUUAAUCGGAAUUACUGGGCGUAAAGCGUGCGCAGGCGGUGAUGUAAGACAGAUGUGAAAUCCCCGGGCUCAACCUGGGAACUGCAUUUGUGACUGCAUCGCUGGAGUGCGGCAGAGGGGGAUGGAAUUCCGCGUGUAGCAGUGAAAUGCGUAGAUAUGCGGAGGAACACCGAUGGAGAAGGCAAUCCCCUGGGCCUGCACUGACGCUCAUGCACGAAAGCGUGGGGAGCAAACAGG